UGGGGAAUAUUGGACAAUGGGCGAAAGCCUGAUCCAGCCAUGCCGCGUGUGUGAAGAAGGUCUUCGGAUUGUAAAGCACUUUAAGUUGGGAGGAAGGGCAUUAACCUAAUACGUUAGUGUUUUGACGUUACCGACAGAAUAAGCACCGGCUAACUCUGUGCCAGCAGCCGCGGUAAUACAGAGGGUGCAAGCGUUAAUCGGAAUUACUGGGCGUAAAGCGCGCGUAGGUGGUUUGUUAAGUUGGAUGUGAAAUCGCCGGGCUCAGCCUGGGAACUGAAUUCAAGACUGACUGACUAGUGUAUGGUAGAUGGUGGUGGAAUUUCCUGUGUAGCGGUGAAAUGCGUGGAUAUAGGAAGGAACACCAUUGGCGAAGGCGACCACCUGGACUAAUACUGACACUGAGGUGCGAAAGCGUGGGGAGCAAACA
rnacentral:rRNA from 1 species